CCUACGUGGCUGCAGUCGAGAAUCUUCGGCAAUGGGCGCAAGCCUGACCGAGCGACGCCGCGUGUGGGAUGAAGGCCUUCGGGUUGUAAACCACUGUCAGAGGGGAUGAAAUGCAGGUGGGUUCUCCCAUCUGUUUGACAUAGCCUCAGAGGAAGGACGGGCUAAGUUCGUGCCAGCAGCCGCGGUAAGACGAACCGUCCAAACGUUAUUCGGAAUCACUGGGCUUAAAGGGUGCGUAGGCGGCGCGGAAAGUUGGGUGUGAAAUCCCUCGGCUUAACCGAGGAACUGCGCCCAAAACUACCGUGCUUGAGGGAGAUAGAGGUGAGCGGAACUUAGGGUGGAGCGGUGAAAUGCGUUGAUAUCCUAAGGAACACCGGUGGCGAAAGCGGCUCACUGGAUCUCUUCUGACGCUGAUGCACGAAAGCUAGGGUAGCGAACGGGAUUAGAUACCCGGGUAGUCUG
rnacentral:rRNA from 1 species